CUCCAUUCAUACCUAAUACGUCCUAUAUAAACCAUCGCACAAUUACCCCAUCCCAUCAUCAAAGUUUUUUUUUGCGUGAACAACAAGUACCAAACGACAAAUACCGAUCAACAAAAAUGGGUUACUACAGGAGACCGAUAAGUGCAACCCUCCCUAUAUUCGACGACACGAUGUUACCACGGUUGAUCACCCCCGCUGAGAGGGUCCUGCUGGGGCCCUAUUUAGACCACCUCCGGCGGAGGUAGUGCGUGGAGGGGCACUCCUGGGUGGCCCAGAACGGAACAAUCAAAUGCGACGGAUGCCACUGGAUGCUCCAGGAGGCAGAGGCGCGGGGAUACCAACCGGCCUCAGUGCACCGCCUACUCCAGGAGAUUUGCAGGGCGCAUGCAGCAGCCCAAUGCUCGUUUUGCAGGCGAAGGGCUCUCAAUAGGGGAAACCCGAAGGAGUACCCGCAGUGCAUAAGGGCCAUCGCCGCAACCCCUUGGGUCGAGCUGGCGGUGCGACCAACCAUCGUAGUGCCACCCCUCCCCCCGGCACCGAAUAAUUAUGUCAAAAUUGUAUAUUAUUUUAUAUUAAGAAUUUAUAUUAUAUUAUAUUAUUUUUAAUUUUAUGACAGUUUUAUAUAGAAUAAUUUAUAAUAUAUAGUAUAUAAUGUAUAGUACAGUUUAUAAUAGUAUAUGGAAUAGUUUUAUGUUUCUCUUCUCUUUUCUUUCUUCUUUUUUCUUUAACUCAUGUACGAAUUUUUUUAUAUAUAUAUAAUGUUAUUGGAGUUUAACUUAAUAAGAAGGGGAUAAAUAAACGAGGAAGGUUUCUCUGAAAAUAAACAAAGUUUUUGUCAUGUAUUUACAUUCACUUAACCUAAUAAAUUUUAUUACAAUUAUUUACAUACCUGAAAAUAAACAAAGAAACUACAUUCAAUGUUUAUUCUUUAUCCUAUUCUAAAUCUAACAAUCUUUUUUUAUACCGUUUAAUUAUCUUUCUAGUUUUAACUAGCCUCUCGCAUUACGCAGUCUCUCUUCUCUCUUCCCUUCUCUCUUCUCUUCUCUCUUCUCCUCGCCGACUCGCGUGUGAGCGCAGGAGCGAUCAAAAGUUAAUUUUGAGGAAUUGGGCUUUCUUACAUAUAUAUAUGCAAAAUAUAUACUACUUUAUAUUAUUGAAAAAAAAAAAAAAAUAAAAUAAACUAUCAGCUAGUUGUAGUAUGGGCCUUCGAUGAAAAGGUACACCCUUGCUAUACAAAACAGCCUCUCGAGACUUGUUGUGUCUGGCGUUGGGGGUGUUACAGCCGGCCCUGCCGGUGUCCCUUUUUAUCGACCUCGCAUUGCGAAUAGUUAAGAUCAAUAGACUUUUAGGAAUGCGCACGAACCACAAUUCAAAUCGUGUUAUUCAACCGAGUCGAGUGAACCGCAAGUCAGCAAACAAGCGUCAGCAAUAUUAGGCUCUUGGGCACGAAUCACCUAUUGAAUUUGGGACUUGCUCCAAUUUCGGGAAAUGUGGCAAUUAAGAUUCCGAAAUUACGAAUUACGCCAGGCAAGGAUCUGGGGCUAUAUAAGCCCGUGGUCACGACCAUGGACGGCUCUUUGUGUAUUAUUAUUUUGGCAGUUAUUAUUCUGUAGUCGCGGACGGGUUAAUCUCUCGCGUUAGUCUUAUUCAGGUAUCGUGUAUCGUAUCUUCGGCUGAGUAAAGAGUUCGCGUAAGUGAGAACAUA